CGCGGCCUAUCAGCUUGUUGGUGAGGUAACGGCUCACCAAGGCGACGACGGGUAGCCGGCCUGAGAGGGUGACCGGCCACACUGGGACUGAGACACGGCCCAGACUCCUACGGGAGGCAGUAGUGGGGAAUAUUGCACAAUGGGCGCAAGCCUGAUGCAGCAACGCCGCGUGAGGGAUGACGGCCUUCGGGUUGUAAACCUCUUUUAGCAGGGAAGAAGCGAAAGUGACGGUACCUGCAGAAAAAGCACCGGCUAACUACGUGCCAGCAGCCGCGGUAAUACGUAGGGUGCAAGCGUUGUCCGGAAUUAUUGGGCGUAAAGAGCUCGUAGGCGGUUUGUCACGUCUGCUGUGGAAAUCCAAGGCUCAACCUUGGACUUGCAGUGGGUACGGGCAGGCUAGAGUGCGGUAGGGGAGAUGGGAACUCCUGGUGUAGCGGUGGAAUGCGCAGAUAUCAGGAGGAACACCAAUGGCGAAGGCACAUCUCUGGGCCGUAACUGACGCUGAGGAGCGAAAGCGUGGGGAGCGAACAGGAUUAGAUACCCUGGUAGUCCACGCCGUAAACGGUGGGUGCUAGCUGUGGGCCACAUUCCACGUGGUCCGUGACGAAGUUAACACAUUA
rnacentral:rRNA from 1 species